rnacentral:rRNA from 1 species
UACGAAGGGGGCUAGCGUUGCUCGGAAUCACUGGGCGUAAAGCGCACGUAGGCGGAUUGUUAAGUCAGGGGUGAAAUCCUGGAGCUCAACUCCAGAACUGCCUUUGAUACUGGCGAUCUCGAGUCCGGGAGAGGGUCGCGGAAUUCCCGGUGUAGAGGUGAAAUUCGUAGAUAUCGGGAGGAACACCAGUGGCGAAGGCGGCGACCUGGACCGAUACUGACGCUGAUGUGCGAAAGCGUGGGGAGCAAACAGG